rnacentral:rRNA from 1 species
UUAAAAAGCUCGUAGUUGAACCUUGGUCCUGGCUGACCUGUCCUCCUAAUCGAGCGCACGGGUUCGGUCGGGCCUUUCCUUCUGGGGAUCCCGAUGCCCUUCACUGGGCGUCGUGGGGAACCAGGACUUUUACCUUGAAAAAAUUAGAGUGUUCAAAGCAGGCCUUUGCUCGAAUACAUUAGCAUGGAAUAAUAGAAUAGGACAGAGGUUCUAUUUUGUUGGUUUCUAGGACCGCUGUAAUGAUUAAUAGGGAUAGUCGGGGG